AGUCCAUGAUGGGGGCACAACCUCAAUAAUUCUUAAAGUCUAUCCCAGGCAUCAUAUAAAGACUCUCUUUCCUUUUGAGCAAAAUUAGUGAUAUGGUUCCUAAAUU